rnacentral:rRNA from 1 species
UACGGGGGGGGCAAGCGUUGUUCGGAAUUACUGGGCGUAAAGAGCUCGUAGGCGGUCUGUCGCGUCGAUCGUGAAAACUUGGGGCUUAACCCUGAGCUUGCGGUCGAUACGGGCAUGACUGGAGUUCGGCAGGGGAGACUGGAAUUCCUGGUGUAGCGGUGAAAUGCGCAGAUAUCAGGAGGAACACCGGUGGCGAAGGCGGGUCUCUGGGCCGAUACUGACGCUGAGGAGCGAAAGCGUGGGGAGCGAACAGG